rnacentral:tRNA from 1 species
AUCGGUUUGUUGUAGCGGUUAGCAUGCGGGUCUCCAAAACCCUGCGGCGGGAGUUCGAAUCUCUCAACCUUUGCCA